rnacentral:rRNA from 1 species
CCUACGGGAGGCAGCAGUGGGGAAUAUUGCACAAUGGGGGAAACCCUGAUGCAGCGACGCCGCGUGAGUGAAGAAGCACUUCGUUACGUAAAGCCCUAUCAGCAGGGAAGAAAAUGACGGUACCUGAGUAAGAAGCCCCGGCUAACUACGUGCCAGCAGCCGCGGUAAUACGUAGGGGGCAAGCGUUAUCCGGAUUUACUGGGUGUAAAGGGAGCGUAGACGGCAGUGCAAGUCGGGAGUGAAAGGCGGGGGCUCAACCCCCGGACUGCUCUGGAAACGGUACGGCUGGAGUGCAGGAGUGGUAAGUGGAAGUCCUGGUGUAGCGGUGAAAGGCGUAGAUAUUAGGAGGAACACCAGUGGCGAAGGCGGCUUACUGGACUGUAACUGACGUUGAGGCUCGAAAGCGUGGGGAGCAAACAGGAUUAGAUACCCGUGUAGUC